CCUACGGGUGGCAGCAGUGAGGAAUAUUGGUCAAUGGCCGGAAGGCUGAACCAGCCAUGCCGCGUGAAGGUCAGUGCCCUAUGGGCGUUACACUUCUUUUGUGCGGGAGCAAUAAUGGUCACGUGUGGCCAGACUAGAGUACCGUACGAAUAAGCAUCGGCUAACUCCGUGCCAGCAGCCGCGGUAAUACGGGGGAUGCAAGCGUUAUCCGGAUUUAUUUGGUUUAAAGGGUGCGUAGGCUGUGAGGUAAGUCAUCGGUGAAAUGCCCCCGCUCAACGGGGUGAAGUGCCAUUGAUACUGCCUUGCUGGAAUGCAGAUGCCGUGGGAGGAAUGUGUGGUGUAGCGGUGAAAUGCAUAGAUAUCACACAGAACACCGAUUGCGAAGGCAUCUCACGAGUCCGCGAUUGACGCUGAUGCACGAAAGCGUGGGUAUCAAACAGGAUUAGAUACCCCAGUAGUC
rnacentral:rRNA from 1 species